rnacentral:rRNA from 1 species
GGGGGCAACCCUGGCGGCGAGCGGCGAACGGGUGAGUAAUACAUCGGAACGUACCCAGGAGUGGGGGAUAACACAUCGAAAGAUGUGCUAAUACCGCAUACGCCCUGAGGGGGAAAGCGGGGGAUCGCAAGACCUCGCGCUGUUGGAGCGGCCGAUGUCGGAUUAGCUAGUUGGUAGGGUAAAGGCCUACCAAGGCGACGAUCCGUAGCUGGUCUGAGAGGAUGAUCAGCCACACUGGGACUGAGACACGGCCCAGACUCCUACGGGAGGCAGCAGUGGGGAAUUUUGGACAAUGGGGGCAACCCUGAUCCAGCCAUUCCGCGUGAGUGAAGAAGGCCUUCGGGUUGUAAAGCUCUUUCGGCAGGAACGAAACGGCGGGCUCUAACAUGGCCUGUCAAUGACGGUACCUGAAGAAGAAGCACCGGCUAACUACGUGCCAGCAGCCGCGGUAAUACGUAGGGUGCGAGCGUUAAUCGGAAUUACUGGGCGUAAAGCGUGCGCAGGCGGUUUUGUAAGACAGCUGUGAAAUCCCCGGGCUUAACCUGGGAACUGCGGUUGUGACUGCAAGACUAGAGUGCGGCAGAGGGGGGUGGAAUUCCACGUGUAGCAGUGAAAUGCGUAGAGAUGUGGAGGAACACCGAUGGCGAAGGCAGCCCCCUGGGUUGACACUGACGCUCAUGCACGAAAGCGUGGGUAGCAAACAGGAUUAGAUACCCUGGUAGUCCACGCCCUAAACGAUGCCAACUAGGUGUUGGGGAAGGAGACUUCCUUAGUACCGUAGCUAACGCGUGAAGUUGGCCGCCUGGGGAGUACGGUCGCAAGAUUAAAACUCAAAGGAAUUGACGGGGACCCGCACAAGCGGUGGAUGGAUGUGGAUUAAUUCGAUGC